GUUCAUGGGAUUAAUUAGCUUGAAAGAAGGAAUUCUAGCAACAACAAAAAAUAGAAGAAGAGAUUUAAUAAUCUUGAUAGGAUAGAAUUAUGGUGAACUUAUGGUCACUAUAGUGGGAUACAAGUAAAAUUGUUUUAUUUCUUUAGCUUUUUAUUUUUAAUUACUUUAUAGAGAGAACUACCACCUUUUUUUGUCUCAUUUUGAUGAUAAAUCAAAAGCAAGAGAAAAGCAAAGAAG
rnacentral:lncRNA from 1 species